rnacentral:lncRNA from 1 species
GCUUGUUGACAUCAUACCAACCAAAGCUAGAAGCAUAAUGAACUAGCAUGCCAGCAACUUCCUUGUAUUGUGUUUUCAACAAUUUCAUUAUGGAUUAUAUACGUGGAUGCCCUUAAUUUUGAAAUUAAAGAUAUUUUCACCCAUCCAUUUCUCAAGUUGUUGUAAAUAACUAGCCUUAAAAGUCCCACUGUCUUUACUCCAACCUCCUUCAUUCACAAGAUCCAUGCAACAUUCAAUUAAGAUUGCAUCUUCAACAAGAGUCCAUUGAUUGGUAGAUCAUUUGGUUGUCUUCCCCAAUCAUUGAGAUGAUGCACUUUCCAUUUACAAGCAGAAAACGAGGUAUAGAAAGAUUAUAAUAACAAAUAUAUAAUAUAUAAUAAGUAAAUGAAAAAUUAUUUUUGAUAAAAUAGGAGAAAAGGAAUCUAAACAAAAAUAAUAAAGAUCAAAUAAAAAUAUGUCUCAACCCAUUGGAAUCAAUAAAGGAAAGUUUGAGUUGUAACAAAUAAAUGUAUCAUUACAUGAUGUUACAAGAUAAAUAUAAAAAAACAAUCAAGGCAAGUUUUAGUUGUAACAAAUAAAGCAUACAAAGAUUAUUGAAUCAAAUACAAAAAUUAAGUUUGUUUUCUAGAAGCUAGCCAAUCAUUCCAUAUUUGUGUGCCAAGUUUAUUUCUCCAAGUAGUCCAAGCAUUUGAAGUCUUAUUAAUCUAUUGAAUGAUAUCUGCAUAUUUCAUUGCUUAUGAAUGAUUCCACGUAUCCUUUAUCCAUUUUAGCCUCAAGUGGAUCACAUUUCAUCUUCUUCAUAAUGUGAUUUUGUAACAAAGCACAAGCAGAGAUAAUUAUGCAUAUUGUUUUCAUUGGAUACCAAGAUCUCUCCCUAAGUAUUGCUUAUCUCAUUUUAAGGAAUCCAAAACAUCUCUAAAUAAUAUUCCUAUUACCAAAGUGUUUGUAAUUAAACAAUUCUUCUUUUGUUUGAAGAGUGUAAUUUCGUCUCCACUCAUUCAAAUGAUAACGUUGACCUUUAUAUGGAGUUAAAAAUACCUCUAUAUUUGUGUACCUAAAAUCAUAUAAGUAGUAAAAAUCUAUACUAAAAAAUUAUUUUUAAAUUCACCUUAAAUUAUAUUAAGUAACAUUUAAAUCCUAUAGUUAAUAAUUUCAUUCACAUUUUUGCGUUACCUUUGGAGACUUUCAACUCAUUUAUUAUAACUAUUGCAUCUCGAAGAACCUUUCCAUCCAAGUAAAAAAUAUAUAUGAACUACAUAUCUUGUGAACAAACCCUUAAAACAUUUGUAGUAAUUUCAUUAUUCCUUAUUCUGUAUUUAGGCUUAUUAAUGUCCAAGGCAUUGACUUUAAUAGAAGUCCAUCUAAAGCACUUAACUAAUUCUAUAGUUUCCAAUAGAAUAAUGACACAAACAUUUAAUUAUUUAGUUGCAUUUCUAAUAAAUGUGCAAGGGAUUUUAGGUAAACUAUUUCCAUCUUAAGCCCAUUGAACUCAAGUAUAGAGUCUAGCUUCUUUAAUAAUAUUGCUUGCAACUUCAAAACAAAUUUUAAAACAACACCAGAUUGCCUACUCAUUGUCAUACCAACUUCUAACAAAUUCUCUAUUUAUGAUCCUAAUCUUUGCAUGAUAAAAGAUGAUGUAAAUAAAGAUAAACAUCAUAUCUUCAACAUUCAUGUUUUUUAUUGGUGAAAACCUAUAUCAAUGCUUUAAAAGCAUAUUAUACAAAUUAUAGAAGGUAGACCUAUCAAUUCUAAUAUGUUCAAUGCAUGCCAUAUUAGAAUCAAAUACCAUUCUUCGAAAAUUCAAUUUCUUGAUAAAAUGCCUAACUAUUAGUCUUGAUUUUAACGUUUUCUAUUAUUCAUGUAAAUUUAUUAAUAUCCUACAACCAAAACAUUAAUUAUCACUAUUAUGUUAUACAUCAUUAUAGCUAAUGCAAGAGCAAUCACAAUUGUUGCAAUUUGUUCUUCAGAAAAUUCUUUCAUCAUGUGAACUAACAAUAUACAAUGUAAAAAUUAACUUAGUAUACAAAUUGGAUGAUGCAAGUAGUACAUCAAGAUACUGUAUUUAAGGAGAGAGAUUUCGUAUUUAAUUAGUCAUUUCCCCUUCAUUUUAAAUGCGUUGGGAAAUUGACAUUUCAACCAUCAAUAAAAAUGAAAUUGUUGGUAACAUUGUUUAAGGUAAUGAAGACGCCAACAUUGUGGUAGAUUGUCAAGUUAGUGACCCAUAAGAAAAACACCAUCGCUACUCCAUGGGUUUUUAUCUACUUGUAGCCUCAUCCCAUUUACUUUCAUAAUUUUUCUCAUCAUUAAUACUAUCUACUUUUCCCUUAAACUCUUUUGACUUUCUUAUUCCUACUAUGUUUUCUACUCUACGAGCAAUUUGGUUAGUCCAUACUUUUUUUUAAUCACAAAUGAAGUACAUGUACAUUAGAUUGAAUUGAAAGUCUAUACAAAAUUAUUAAGUGACAUAGAGAUUACGUAAUUUCAUAAUUAAAAUAAUAAAACGUAAAAGUAACCUUAUGAAAUAAAAUAGCAUAUAUAUAUGAAUCAUUGAUGCCCACCAAUAAUUGAUACAUAAAUUAAGUAUGUAAACAUAAAAUACUUUUUUUUUGGUUGUUAAGCAAACAUAAAUACUUAAAUUAGGAUUUAAAAUACUUCAAAUUAACUAAAUAACAACUAUAAGUACUAAUAUAAUAUCUUACAGAUACCAUAUAUGGGUGAGCAUAUGUUUAGAUAUAUUUUAGUGGCCAUUAUCACAAUGCUCCUUUCUUGCUUUGUUGGUUGGAAAACUACAUUGGCAAAUAUCACAUUUGUAUUUCGUUUUUGCUAUUCUGUGUGUCACGACCCGGAACUCCUUUCAAACCCGUGACAACAGCCGCAGUGUCCCGAUGGGCACUUAUCUCUCGGAAUGUCAUCCGAAACCCCGCAAGGCUUAAUAUUAGUUUCUCAUUUUUCCCGAUGAGUAACUAUUGCCAAAUAUUAUGUUCUAAAGGAUUUUGAGCUAUUUUCAACUUAAAACAGAUAAAACGAAAAUUUUGUCUCACAAGGGCAUUUUAGUCAUUUUUUUCCAAAAAUCUCAAAAUCAGUUAAAAAUGUAGUAUGCAAGUGGAAAACACAUAUUUCAUAAUCAAAAAAUAUUUUGGAUGUCUAAAACAGUCGUUUAAAAUGAAAUUAUGACUAUUAGUAUAAAAUAAAAAUAUUGAAGAAAAUAUUUAAUUUUCUCAUAAAACAAUAUUUUAAGAACACUGCAUAAAUAAUUUUUACAACGUAAAAGUACAAUAAAUUCAUAUAUAUUGUAAUACAGAUAAUCAGAGUAUAAAAUUAAAUUUGCAGUGACACGUGGGCCCACGAACGACUAAAAGUAUCUAGAGAGAUAAACUUACAUAUUUUGAGGAUGCCAGUCCAAUUGUAACCCUCGAUGAAAUGAGCUAUCUACCGACUAUCCUGAGCUUGAAAUGGGUGGAAAGGAGGGUGGUGAGAUUAUAUAAUCCCAGUGAGUAAACAAAUAUCAUUUAAAAUAUCUAAAAGCGAGUAAAAGGAGACUAUUAAAACAUUUCAUUAAACUGUAAUUUAUCAUCUUUCGACUUAUUUCAACAAAAUGAAAUCAAUUUAUUUAAAUCAAGUAAUCAGUAUGGCUUAUGAACUUCUUAAAACUUUAGCUCGUGCCGAAAUCAUUAUCAUACUCAGUUAUCAGGGAUACCUUGAUCGAGGGCUAUCCCAACUGAGUCCGCCAAGGCUGUUAAAAAGUUUUGAACACAUAAAUCAUGUUUUUAUUAUGAAAAUAUAGCCGUUCCUUGGCGUUAGCGGAGUUCAUAAUCACGAGGUGGUUUGCCGUGAAGUGAACUCUAAAACUGUUAGCCUUAGGAGUUAUCCACCCGCGCCUCUCAUACUGAGGUAAGAUAUAACGGGGUUUACCGUGCCCCUCUAAUAAGCUGGCUCACGGAAACCCGCCUACUGCAGUGGCUAGUUAAAUAACCCACCAUACAAUAAAAUUCAUUCUAGCAUGACAUGGCAAUUAUUGUAAUUCACAGCCUUUCAAGGCUAAAUACACAUUUCAUAUAUUUCAACAUAAAUACCAAUUCAGCCAUUCAUGCAAAUAUUAUCAUAAGCCAUUUAUUCAAAUCAUAAAUCUACAACAUACCAGUGGUCUCUAAUUACUCUAUUUUUCAAAAUCGUUAUUUCGUUUCAAUACAAUUUAUAAAAUUAUUUAUUUAAACAUAUUUUAUUUGUAAAACCAAAAAUUAACCAUUUAAACUCAUUUUCAUAAAAUUUCACCAAAAUCGAUUAAAAUCAUACUUUAGAUAAUUAAAAUGAUGAUAAGGUUACUCACUAUUUCGGGAGUCGAAUUCCAAGUACUCCGACUAUCGAUCCUCAGGUACAAUUUCUUUGCCUUUAUCGGAGAACUCACCACCUUGACAAAUUGCACAAUUAAGAGGUUUACUACUUUGGUACUAAACCAAAAUAAACUAAUUUAUACUACUAAUGUAUGAUAUAAAGUGCAAAAUGUCUAAAUUUUGCCUAAACGCGAUGUUAGCCUAUUUCGGUCUUUUACCUGAUAAAUCGAUAUACGCGUUCGUUUAAACUCCAAAUUAAUUUUUUUUUUCAGUUUCUAUGCCUCAAUUGCACCCAAAUUGACUUAAUGUCCCUCAGUGUGGUGCAAAUUAUCAGUCUUGAUAAUAAAUUACAAAAAUACCACUAGUGGGUAAAAAUUCGUAUAUUUGCUCCGAAAAUUUUCAUUAUUUUUCUAGGCUCAUAAUUCAUCAUAAUUCCUCAAAUAAAUAUCAAGAUCAGCAGCCAAUAUUCCCCUAGAAAAUUUGGCCAAUAAUGGUAAUGGAGGAAAAUGAAUUCUUUUCUUGUUGUUUUGUUUCUAAAUAUGCUAAACUAACUAAAAACACUAACAUAACUUAAAAUCAAAUUAAUCUAACUUCAUUCUCUCUCCAUACCCAUUUGGGCAGCCAUGAAUUCACCAUGAAAACAUGAAAUCUAACCAUGGAAAAUAAGGAGAAAUGCAUGGAAAAGGUAGAUCACAACUCAAAAUCAAGAAAUUUUACCUUUGAUUGCUUGAUUCCUUGAAAUCCCACACUUUUUCUUCAAUUUUCCCACCUAGGUUUCUUGUUUCUUUCUUUUCCUCUCUUGUUCUUAGUAUGGCCGGC